rnacentral:rRNA from 1 species
GAUGAACGCUGGCGGCGUGCCUAAUACAUGCAAGUCGAGCGAACAGAUGAGGAGCUUGCUCCUCUGACGUUAGCGGCGGACGGGUGAGUAACAUGUGGAUAACCUACCUAUAAGACUGGGAUAACUUCGGGAAACCGGAGCUAAUACCGGAUAAUAUAUUGAACCGCAUGGUUCAAUAGUGAAAGACGGUUUUGCUGUCACUUAUAGAUGGAUCCGCGCCGCAUUAGCUAGUUGGUAAGGUAACGGCUUACCAAGGCAACGAUGCGUAGCCGACCUGAGAGGGUGAUCGGCCACACUGGAAGUGAGCCACGGUCCAGACUCCUACGGGAGGCAGCAGUAGGGAAUCUUCCGCAAUGGGCGAAAGCCUGACGGAACAACGCCGCGUGAGUGAUGAAGGUCUUCGGAUCGUAAAACUCUGUUAUUAGGGAAGAACAAAUGUGUAAGUAACUAUGCACGUCUUGACGGUACCUGAUCAGAAAGCCACGGCUAACUACGUG